ACAGAUCAAUGGGGGCGCUGCGACGCGGGCUAUCCGCGAUGGGAUCCAGCGUCUGCUGGUCUUCUUAGUGGAUCGAGCCGAGGCGCUCAAGGAGAUCCAAUGGAGUGUGGCCUUCUCGGUGGAUCCAGCUGAGACGCGCGAGAGCAUCUUCCUAGGGUUUGAAGUUGGUGACCGAGGAGGAGGCGGCGCCAGCGAUGGCGCGCAAGCCGUGCACGAGGCCACGACGACUCCACAAAGACGGCUCUCCAUUCUUCCCGACCCGCGACCGCGUGCUCUCCGAGCUCCAACACCUUCGCUCCACGCUCGCCGCGUCGCUGCCCUCCACAUCACCAUGGCGAUGAUUUCUCGGAUUCGAGGUGGGUUGUGCUUGGUGCCUAGAUGGGUUGGUUCUGCUCGGUUGUAAGGUCAGCAAAUGCAGCAGUUGGUGUGAUCGCAGAAACAAAUGCUGAAAAAGCACUCGAGGUUCUUACUUCUAAACAAGGCUCAAACGUGGUGCUUAAUUCUGCAGAUCUGAUUUACUGUUGUUUGAUAUAUUAUUCUCUUUGCAAAUGUUGUGAGAUAUGUGUGGCGUUAAUCUUCUGAUGCCCUACAUUUUCCCUUUCCCUCUCUUUACCUACAAACAUUUAUAUAAAAACUUAGAGGUGGAACUUGGGAGUGUUUAAAAGACUGGCAUCUAAUAUCUUGGAUGCAUGAUUGUGUAUUACACCAUGUUUAUCCUGGUCAUGUUCUCCUAUUUUGAACUCCAGCCUUGAACUUGAAUGCCAGAGUCCAUCGCUACUUGUUGUCCCUAGACGAGAGGUCGUCCAAGAUGGCGGCAAUGCCGGCUGUUCCUUCCCCUGUGGUGGCGGCCAAAUGUGCCCCCCUUCUAGGUGAGAUCUGCACCUCAUCUCUCUGUCUCUCAAGCCCUAAUCAACGUUGUGGCAGCGACGGCCACCACAGACGACAUGCCAUCCUCUCACUUCUAGGCAACGAGGCGGCGGUGCCUGCGCCCCCAAAACAAAUCCAUAUGCGAGCAGAUCGUCUCAGUGCUGCCUCCACCUGAGCAACACCUACAAAUUCGUUCAAGGCCCCAUCUGGUUGUUAUAUUGGGCAGAGAAAAAAACAUAGCCUACAGGUUCGACUCUUAAAUCCAAUGGUUCGUCUUCAUAUUUCUAAUAGGAUGGAUUGACACUAUUAUUUUGCUACAUCUAUGGAAGUAAGUGAAACUAUCCUCGUGUGUGAUUCUCUGCAAAAUAUUCUCCCUGCAUAUAUGUAGCACUAAUUUGUAGGUCAAGCAAAUCAUAUACUAGAGAGAGAUUAAAGCAUAAGUUUAUUCAUGUUGCAGGAUAGCGAUCUUUGCAUAAGCACUGCCUGAAAGCCAGUUGAUCAGUAUGUUCUCUUGCUAUACCAUCUUUGAUUAGUAUACUUUGUUUGAUAAUAUUUUCCUUUCUAUGAUGAGAUCUGUUGACUAGGUUUGUUAUCUCCAUAGGUAUCUAUGUAAAUAUGGCAACGUGAUGUUUAGUAUUGCAAACUGAACUUCAUAUUUAUAUCUUUUAUUUGUGGUGGACUGUAUUACAAUUAAGUCUUAACAACCUGAACAUGAUAGCUAUGUCAUAUUCUUUGCUCUCUCCCCGUGGUGGAAUCCAAGUUAACUUCUAGGGCACUUGUAGGUGAGGGAGAUGAUGGCAGGCUUUUGUUCCCCUUCUAUUGAGACUUUUUCUCUCCAGGAACAGCAUCAAUACCACAUGCCCACAAUCUGCUCUUGUUUGGAGGUGGGCCCUACAUCAGCAUUUUGCUGCCCUAUACAUUGUUUGAUUUUGUUUGACCAAUUCCUUUUUUCUCUAUUUUCCUUGACUAAUCAUCAUGCAUUUGGUUAUGGAUAUGUGUGGGCAUCUACAAUUAAGAAGCAAUCUCGCUUCACGGUUGUGGAAUUGUUCUCAUUAGUUUAGUGGAACAUGUCUUGGCCUCCAUACUAUUACAAUCUUAAUCCAAUGGGACUCCAUACUUUGGCAUUCAAUCUUCUUACAUCAGAUCUGGUGCAGGCAUCAUCUAUUGAGGCUUUGCAUUCCCUGUCAAUGAGUACAUCCGGUGUCAACCAUUUGCUUUGCUCCGAUAACACAUGUCGCUCACUCCACGAUCUAAUAGUUCUGUAUUUUGUGGAGCCAAUUAAAUCUCUGUGUUCAGUUAUAGUUGUAAAACAGUAGUGCAUGGUUAAGUUGUAUGAGCAUAUCACAUUGGCCUCUCCCUAGAAGCAAGCACAUCUUUCUGACUGUGAGGUGUACUUGGCUUUCUCUUACAAAAUUUAAAAAAUGGACACAUCCUAUAAGCUAAUGUAGGUAUGUUAAUAUUUUAAUAAAUAAUUGUACAAAUAGAACCAAAGUUCAGCUACAACUAGGCUUUUAUUAACUAUAUUGCUUUGCUUUUGUUUAAUUGGGUUCUUUUGUUGUUGAAUAUAAAAGAUUUAAGUUUUCUCUUCUCCUUUCCUUCCAUAAAAAUAAUCCAUCAUAUGCAUACUUCUCUCUAAGCCUUCUCUUGCAGAUAAUGCCUCUCUUCUAAUGGAGCCAGAGGAUAGUAUUCCAUUCUUCGAUGAAAUAUAGCCUAUUGAGAGAGUUGUCUUUCGGGCAUGUUGUAGCUUUUGGCUGUUUAUAUAUGUUGAUUUAUAAUUCUUUCCUGGUGUUCACAGAUAAUUGAUUUGUUACAUAUUUUCCAAGACACUAAUUAUGUGGAUUAUUAACUUUUUUUAUUAGUGUGGAA